rnacentral:lncRNA from 1 species
GUUCAGAAAAGCUGCGCUUAUGCAUGAAGUAAAACGCACACUCAAAUACAACAAGGUUGCCAUUUAAUCAGUAGCAACAAGGCUGCCCGUUUAAUCAGUAGCAGUCACAUUGUGAAAAGAGGCACACGGAGAUACCAAAAGGGUCUGAGUAUCACCCUACACAGGGUUUGCGGCAACUUUACAUGAGGUAGCGCCCCCCAACCACAAGGAUGAGGAGUAACUUCCACAUGCACAACCAGCCCAUGGCCAUGCUAAAGCGCACCAACAGAACAGGAGGAACCUAAAUAUUGUCAAAGGGAUCCAGACUACUUUUACAAACUAAGCCCCAGAACUGAUAGUUCUUGUUUUCUUCAAUUAAUUGGGAUUAACUCCAUUUCCCCUCUACUCAUUUACUGUAGACCAUCUCUGAACACUACAGCCCGCGGAGUCGAUGUGUGUGUGUGUGGCGGGGGGGCAGGGGGGUUUGGUUGUCACUUGAAACUGGAGAGGGUUCAUUUUAAAUAUGAAAUUUUCAAUAAAUCUGAAUUCUCCCUCUAGUUCUCCCCCAUGAUAUUUACAUUUACCUUUGCCUUUUCUUUUUUUUUUCAGACACUCUUCGGAAAAAAAACGGAGAACUUCAGGAUGAAACAGACACUCUUCGGAAAAAAAACGGAGAACUUCAGGAUGAAACAGACACUCUUCGGAAAAAAAACGGUAAAUUUUCUGAUAUCCCAUUGCUCUUGAGCCCCUCCGAAGAGACUGGUUCAGCCUUUCAUCUUGUGUGCCGUUUCAUCUAUUUCGCUUCUGUCGGCAUGCCUUUCUCUUGCACGUCCUGUCUACGGUCUCCACCUCAAUGUUUUGCGUUGGACGUGUCCCACGUUCCUUCUGUCCAUUUCUGUUUGCCUACCUCCUCUGCUCUGCCAUUCCUUCUCUUUGCAAUGCAUGCCAUGCCCUCCCGGUAAGGACUGGCUUUGCUUCGGUCUUUCAGGCACUUGCCACAGUUUCAUGAAGAAGUUGGUGAGAUGCAAAGCAUUACGCUG